UCUACGGGAGGCAGCAGUAGGGAAUCUUCCACAAUGGGCGAAAGCCUGAUGGAGCAACGCCGCGUGUGUGAUGAAGGGCUUCGGCUCGUAAAACACUGCUGUAAGAGAAGAAUGACAUUGAGAGUAACUGUUCAAUGUGUGACGGUAUCUUACCAGAAAGGAACGGCUAAAUACGUGCCAGCAGCCGCGGUAAUA
rnacentral:rRNA from 1 species